rnacentral:rRNA from 1 species
GGGUUGUGAGGUUAAGCGACUAAGCGUACACGGUGGAUGCCCUGGCAGUCAGAGGCGAUGAAGGACGUGCUAAUCUGCGAUAAGCGUCGGUAAGGUGAUAUGAACCGUUAUAACCGGCGAUUUCCGAAUGGGGAAACCCAGUGUGUUUCGACACACUAUCAUUAACUGAAUCCAUAGGUUAAUGAGGCGAACCGGGGGAACUGAAACAUCUAAGUACCCCGAGGAAAAGAAAUCAACCGAGAUUCCCCCAGUAGCGGCGAGCGAACGGGGAGGAGCCCAGAGCCUGAAUCAGUGUGUGUGUUAGUGGAAGCGUCUGGAAAGGCGCGCGAUACAGGGUGACAGCCCCGUACACAAAAAUGCACAUGCUGUGAGCUCGAUGAGUAGGGCGGGACACGUGGUAUCCUGUCUGAAUAUGGGGGGACCAUCCUCCAAGGCUAAAUACUCCUGACUGACCGAUAGUGAACCAGUACCGUGAGGGAAAGGCGAAAAGAACCCCGGCGAGGGGAGUGAAAAAGAACCUGAAACCGUGUACGUACAAGCAGUGGGAGCACAGAGCAAUCUGUGUGACUGCGUACCUUUUGUAUAAUGGGUCAGCGACUUAUAUUCUGUAGCAAGGUUAACCGAAUAGGGGAGCCGAAGGGAAACCGAGUCUUAACUGGGCGUUAAGUUGCAGGGUAUAGACCCGAAACCCGGUGAUCUAGCCAUGGGCAGGUUGAAGGUUGGGUAACACUAACUGGAGGACCGAACCGACUAAUGUUGAAAAAUUAGCGGAUGACUUGUGGCUGGGGGUGAAAGGCCAAUCAAACCGGGAGAUAGCUGGUUCUCCCCGAAAGCUAUUUAGGUAGCGCCUCGUGAAUUCAUCUCCGGGGGUAGAGCACUGUUUCGGCAAGGGGGUCAUCCCGACUUACCAACCCGAUGCAAACUGCGAAUACCGGAGAAUGUUAUCACGGGAGACACACGGCGGGUGCUAACGUCCGUCGUGAAGAGGGAAACAACCCAGACCGCCAGCUAAGGUCCCAAAGUCAUGGUUAAGUGGGAAACGAUGUGGGAAGGCCCAGACAGCCAGGAUGUUGGCUUAGAAGCAGCCAUCAUUUAAAGAAAGCGUAAUAGCUCACUGGUCGAGUCGGCCUGCGCGGAAGAUGUAACGGGGCUAAACCAUGCACCGAAGCUGCGGCAGCGACGCUUAUGCGUUGUUGGGUAGGGGAGCGUUCUGUAAGCCUGCGAAGGUGUGCUGUGAGGCAUGCUGGAGGUAUCAGAAGUGCGAAUGCUGACAUAAGUAACGAUAAAGCGGGUGAAAAGCCC